UACGAAGGGGGCUAGCGUUGCUCGGAAUUACUGGGCGUAAAGGGCGCGUAGGCGGACAGUUUAGUCAGAGGUGAAAGCCCAGGGCUCAACCUUGGAACUGCCUUUGAUACUGGCUGUCUUGAGUUCGGGAGAGGUGAGUGGAAUGCCGAGUGUAGAGGUGAAAUUCGUAGAUAUUCGGCGGAACACCAGUGGCGAAGGCGACUCACUGGCCCGAUACUGACGCUGAGACUCGAAAGCGUGGGGAGCAAACAGG
rnacentral:rRNA from 1 species